rnacentral:rRNA from 1 species
AUUGAACGCUGGCGGCAGGCCUAACACAUGCAAGUCGAGCGGAUGAAGGGAGCUUGCUCCUGGAUUCAGCGGCGGACGGGUGAGUAAUGCCUAGGAAUCUGCCUGGUAGUGGGGGAUAACGUCCGGAAACGGGCGCUAAUACCGCAUACGUCCUGAGGGAGAAAGUGGGGGAUCUUCGGACCUCACGCUAUCAGAUGAGCCUAGGUCGGAUUGGCUAGUUGGUGGGGUAAAGGCCUACCAAGGCGACGAUCCGUAACUGGUCUGAGAGGAUGAUCAGUAAAACUGGAACUGAGACACGGGCCAGACUCCUACGGGAGGCAGCAGUGGGGAAUAUUGGACAAUGGGCGAAAGCCUGAUCCAGCCAUGCCGCGUGUGUGAAGAAGGUCUUCGGAUUGUAAAGCACUUUAAGUUGGGAGGAAGGGCAGUAAGUUAAAACCUUGCUGUUUGACGUUACCAACAGAAUAAGCACCGGCUAACUUCGUG